GCAAGCCAGGAAGGAGGAGGCAGCCAGAGUGUUCUCUCCAGCAGAAGACCCCUUGCUGCCCUGCUUAACCCAGACCAGCAUUUGCCAGGCACCUGAAAACAGAGAAAAGCAGGAGAGAGAGAAAGCAGAGAGCAACAGGGGGAGAGCAACUGGUCCUAUCUAUCCAUCUUGAGCACAACAUCCCUCCAGUACCUGAUGCUAGUGUCUAAUUUGUGUCUCUUUUUUAGAUUGUGAGCCCUUUGGGGACAGGCAGCCAUUUUAUUUAUUUAUUUAUAUUUAUGUAAACCUCUUUGGGAACUUUUGUUGAAAAGCAGUAUAUAAAUAUUUGUUGUAUAUAAAUAUUGGUCAUAAAUAUCA